AUUGAAGCUACCCAGUUUAGAUUAUUUUUUCAAAAAAGCUACGAUGCAAUUUUUAUCUAUUACUUUAAUUGUAUGUACAUAAGAACUAAUGUGCUGCAGACAUAAUCAGAAAGCCUGCAUCAUUUACCUCUGUAUUAUACAACACAGCAUGUCACAGUGCCCUAGGCAAGGUCACCAAACUCCUAACAAUGCUGUAGGAUGUGCCAGAGGAAUCCAUCUUUAUAAAUUAGACUUCAUUAUACAUGAUCUGCUCAUAAAUCUUGAUGCAUCGUUUUCUAGUAUUAUAACUCUACUUUGCACUUGCAUGUACACAUGCUAGAUAUUCUAAUCUAGAACUUCUAAUUCACAGAGUACUUUACAAAUACACACUGGGUGUAUGCUUGCGUGCAUAAAGCCACUGUGCUGCUGCAAUAGCAGCGCCCUAAAUGAGACCCGACUUCUCGGAGCACCUGCCCUGCUCUGUGCCCUUCUGGUCCCCACCUGGGGAUAGAAAAGCUGCAGGAGGCCGGUUUGCCAGAGCAGAGUAUUUGUGAUGUGCAAAGCAGAAGCUGAUGUUCCUGCAAGUGAGUGCCCUACUCUGAAAGAGCUGCAGGCCCAGAAAGGUGGCCAAUCCCCAGCCAGCCAAGUAGACAUAGUCCAUGAGUGAUGCAAUGAUAGACCACGGUGUGGCCAAUAACCAGCAGAAAGAAAAGCAAGGACUUGUUUUGAUUGCAAGGAUGGAGAAGACGUAUUAUGCAUGGGUUUAGAGACCUUGCAGAACCAUUUGUCCAUUUCACUGAGAGCCAGCGAGGAGCAAGAUGCUCUGGACAACACAGAGCACGAGCUGUAAAACAUGAACACCUUGUUGGAUCACACUCUGAAAUCUGAAAUGGGCAUCCUGCCAAGGCUCAGGGCUUCCUUUUUGUUUUGACUGUUGCAAUGUUCUUGUUUCUGUUAGUAUCACGUUCCUACCACUUGUGCUUUUCAGACACCUACGGCCAAACUCAGUGUAACUCCACUGAGCCCACUGAAGCUGCAACAGACGUGAAUUUGUCUCAGUAUGUCUGUAAAUUAACCAGUCAUUUAAGCUGGAGAGUGACAUUGAUAAGCAAUAACAGCAGAGAAGUGGUGAAAGGAAGAUAUCUCCUAGUUAGUUUUGGACAGUUGACACUAACUCUGUUGUCAGAUAAGUCUUACUGACUGUGGGAAAAGCUGAGUGGGAAAAGUCACACUCGCCGCCUGCUAACUGUAGGAGGAAAACAGAUCUGGAAUGCAGAGGAAAUCUUGACAUUAUCUGUUCCCCCAACCCCUACCAGCCAGGCAAUCAAAAUAACUAGCUGAGUAUCAGCUGCCUCUGUUCCUGCCCCAAAUAAAGGUGCUUUCUUGACAGAGCUUUUGCUCACAGGAGAGCAGGCAAAGAGAAGAAGUCUGAAGUGGGUGUGGGGGAGUGCUUCCUGCCAGAACCCAGGAGCAGCUUCUCUGUAACAUCCAAAAGAAUACUGAUGACAUAAACCUAGUGCUGUAAACAGAGGUGGCUCUGCCAUUUCCAAAGGACAGCAAUUCAGCCUGACAGCCCUGCAGCCCAGAACUCCUGUACUCCAUCGCUCACUUGGCUUCCAUUGACAUUGCCAAGGACACUGUGCCAGGCUCUGCUACAAGAAGGAUCAAACCCAAGGGAACAAAACCACUGGAAAGAACUCCUCUCUUCUCAUCCAAAUUUUGUUGUUUAAGAAUAAAGUGUAGCUGUUUCAAAUGAA